rnacentral:rRNA from 1 species
GACGAACGCUGGCGGCGUGCUUAACACAUGCAAGUCGAACGGAAAGGCCCUGCUUUUGUGGGGUGCUCGAGUGGCGAACGGGUGAGUAACACGUGAGUAACCUGCCCUUGACUUUGGGAUAACUUCAGGAAGCUGGGGCUAAUACCGGAUAGGAGCUCCUGCUGCAUGGUGGGGGUUGGAAAGUUUCGGCGGUUGGGGAUGGACUCGCGGCUUAUCAGCUUGUUGGUGGGGUAGUGGCUUACCAAGGCUUUGACGGGUAGCCGGCCUGAGAGGGUGACCGGCCACAUUGGGACUGAGAUACGGCCCAGACUCCUACGGGAGGCAGCAGUGGGGAAUAUUGCACAAUGGGCGGAAGCCUGAUGCAGCAACGCCGCGCGCGGGAUGACGGCCUUCGGGUUGUAAACCGCUUUCGCCUGUGACGAAGCGUGAGUGACGGUAAUGGGUAAAGAAGCACCGGCUAACUACGUG